UGUUUCGGUUGUCGAAAAGGGCAUAAGUGGGUGUUCUGUCCAAGUCCCUGUCGCUUGGGCGAGAAAUUCUCGCCUGGGCGAGCACGGUCUCGCUUGGGCGAGGACUGGGCGAGUGGAAGUUUUAGGUUUUGGAACUCCUCGCCCGGACGCCAAAUCCUCGCUCGGGCGAGCAAGGGUCUCGCUUAGGCGAAAAAAACCCAGGAAUUUGAUGAAAUUCUGGACAUCCCUCG
rnacentral:lncRNA from 1 species